GAUGAACGCUGGCGGCGUGCCUAAUACAUGCAAGUCGAGCGAACAGACGAGGAGCUUGCUCCUCUGACGUUAGCGGCGGACGGGUGAGUAACACGUGGAUAACCUACCUAUAAGACUGGGAUAACUUCGGGAAACCGGAGCUAAUACCGGAUAAUAUAUUGAACCGCAUGGUUCAAUAGUGAAAGACGGUUUUGCUGUCACUUAUAGAUGGAUCCGCGCCGCAUUAGCUAGUUGGUAAGGUAACGGCUUACCAAGGCAACGAUGCGUAGCCGACCUGAGAGGGGGAUCGGCCACACUGGAACUGCGACACGGUCCAGACUCCUACGGGAGGCAGCAGUAGGGAAUCUUCCGCAAUGGGGGAAGGCCUGACGGAGCAACGCCGGGUGAGUGAUGAAGGUCUUCGGAUCGUAAAACUCUGUUAUAGGGGAAGAACAAAUGUGUAAGUAACUAUGCACGUCUUGACGGUACCUAAUCAGAAAGCCACGGCUAACUACGUG
rnacentral:rRNA from 1 species